rnacentral:rRNA from 1 species
UACAGAGGUCUCAAGCGUUGUUCGGAUUCAUUGGGCGUAAAGGGUGCGUAGGCGGCGCGGUAAGUCGGGUGUGAAAUCUCGGGGCUUAACUCCGAAACUGCAUUCGAUACUGCCGUGCUUGAGGACUGGAGAGGAGACUGGAAUUUACGGUGAGCGGUGAAAUGCGUAGAUAUCGUAAGGAAGACCAGUGGCGGAAGGCGGGUCUCUGGACAGUUCCUGACGCUGAGGCACGAAGGUCAGGGGAGGCAAACGGG